UCAUUUUUCGAAAUCUCAUGCCAGCAAUGUACUAGCCAUAUAUCAAUACUGUUGGUUUUCUGGGAGUGUUUUGAUUUUUAAUACAUUUUUCUCCUCUGGCCACGAAUAUAGGCCAGGAUCAUUCACAAUAUUUGUAUAUUUUUUUUAUAUAUAUAUGCCUUAAAUAUUACCCUUCUUUUGUCUCUUAUUAACCCCCAGAAGAGGCUAGCAGAUUCUCCUGUGCAAAUCUGAAUCAUCUUCUCCUAGGGAUACUUCUAAUUUUGUUGUAAUUUUUCUUGUGGUUUUUGAGACGAAGUUCAAAGAAAAGUAUACAAACAGACAAAGGACAGCAACAGAUACCAAUAGCUCACUUGGCUCUUGGGGACCAAAGUAACACCAGUGCCCUACUUGUAGGCUCCUGUGGUAUAACCUCCAGUUUGCACAGACCAAGGGGAAUAACUCUUGUAUUAAUUAUUAUUCUGUUGUGCUGUUUCAGCAUUUAUUUUGAUAGAUAUUAUGCAUCACAAAUGAAUUCCGAAGCCGUUCUAUGGAUUUUUCAAAAA